rnacentral:rRNA from 1 species
UGGGGAAUAUUGGACAAUGGGCGCAAGCCUGAUCCAGCCAUGCCGCGUGUGUGAAGAAGGCCUUCGGGUUGUAAAGCACUUUCAGCGAGGAGGAAGGGUGUUGUGUUAAUAGCACAGCAUUUUGACGUUACUCGCAGAAGAAGCACCGGCUAACUCCGUGCCAGCAGCCGCGGUAAUACGGAGGGUGCAAGCGUUAAUCGGAAUUACUGGGCGUAAAGCGCACGUAGGCGGUGUGUUAAGUUGGAUGUGAAAGCCCCGGGCUCAACCUGGGAAUUGCAUUCAAAACUGGCACGCUAGAGUAUGUGAGAGGGGGGUAGAAUUCCAAGUGUAGCGGUGAAAUGCGUAGAGAUUUGGAGGAAUACCAGUGGCGAAGGCGGCCCCCUGGCACAAUACUGACGCUCAGGUGCGAAAGCGUGGGGAGCAAACAG